rnacentral:rRNA from 1 species
UUGAUCCUGGCUCAGAAUCAACGCUGGCGGCGCGCUUAACACAUGCAAGUCGCACGAGAAAGCAGGAGCAAUCUUGUGAGUAAAGUGGCGUACGGGUGAUUAACACGUGGAUCAUCUACCUUCUAGUGGGGAAUACCUCUGGGAAACCGUAGAUAAUUCCGCAUAAGCUCGUGAGAGGAAAGCCGAAAGGCGCUGGAAGUGGAGUCCGCGGCUGAUUAGCUAGAUGGCGGGGUAACGGCCCACCAUGGCUAAGAUCGGUAGCCGGCCUGAGAGGGCACACGGCCACACUGGCACUGAAAUACGGGCCAGACUCCUACGGGAGGCAGCAGUGGGGAAUCUUGCACAAUGGUGGCAACUCUGAUGCAGCGACGCCGCGUGAGCGAUGAAGCCCUUCGGGGUUUAAAGCUCUUUCGACGGGAAAGAUUAUGACGGUACCCGGAGAAGAAGCUUCGGCUAACUACGUGCCAGCAGCCGCGGUAAUU